ACUCCUACGGGAGGCAGCAGUGGAGAAUNUUNCGCAAUGGGCGAAAGCCUGACGCAGCCAUGCCAGCUGUGUAUGAAGAAGGCCUUAGGGUUGUAAAGNCCUUUCANUUGGGAAGUAAGAGUUUAGCUCGUUUCAUANGUUCCAGCUAUUGACGAGUACCGUCAAAAGAAGCACCGGCUAACUCC
rnacentral:rRNA from 1 species